CAGUAGCCACGGGAAUACAGAGGGUGCGAGCGUUAAUCGGAUUUACUGGGCGUAAAGCGUGCGUAGGCGGCUUUUUAAGUCGGAUGUGAAAUCCCUGAGCUUAACUUAGGAAUUGCAUUCGAUACUGGGAAGCUAGAGUAUGGGAGAGGAUGGUAGAAUUCCAGGUGUAGCGGUGAAAUGCGUAGAGAUCUGGAGGAAUACCGAUGGCGAAGGCAGCCAUCUGGCCUAAUACUGACGCUGAGGUACGAAAGCAUGGGGAGCAAACAGGAUUAGAUACCCGAGUAGUCCCUGUCUCUUAUAC
rnacentral:rRNA from 1 species